AUUACAACGAAAAAAGAGCGAACUGGCAACGGAUAUCAUCGAGCUGCCGACUGAGGCAAAACCACUAAUUCCCCAAACUUCGACUUGACACUCUCCUGUGAUAACCUUUUGUGACACUCGAAGAAGCUCUUACUCCCGCAGAUAAAAAUGACAGACAUCGACUACGAGGAGCUGUCCCAGAAGGCGGCGGAGCUGCUGCUGGUGGACGUGCGGCUGCGGGAGGAGGUGCGGGAGCAAGGCCAGCUGCCCGGCUCGCACGUGCUGCCUGUCCAAGAACUCGAAGAAGCCCUGGGCAUGAGUGAGGCGGACUUCGAGAAAAAAUACGAAAUC